UGAGGAAUAUUGGUCAAUGGGCGAGAGCCUGAACCAGCCACGUAGCGUGAAGGAUGAAGGUCCUAUGGAUUGUAAACUUCUUUUAUAGUAGAAUAAAGUGAGCCACGUGUGGUUUUUUGUAUGUAUACUAUGAAUAAGGAUCGGCUAACUCCGUGCCAGUAGCCGCGGUAAUACGGAGGAUCCGAGCGUUAUCCGGAUUUAUUGGGUUUAAAGGGUGCGUAGGCGGAAUAAUAAGUCAGUUGUGAAAGUUUGCGGCUCAACCGUAAAAUUGCAGUUGAUACUGUUAGUCUUGAGUGUACAUAAGGUAGGCGGAAUUCGUGGUGUAGCGGUGAAAUGCUUAGAUAUCACGAAGAACACCAAUUGCGAAGGCAGCUUACCGGGGUACAACUGACGCUGAGGCACGAAAGUGUGGGUAUCAAACA
rnacentral:rRNA from 1 species